UCGUAGCUCAACUGGAUAGAGCGACAGACUUCGGAUCUGUAGGUUAUGGGUUCGAUUCCUAUCGGGC
rnacentral:tRNA from 1 species